rnacentral:rRNA from 1 species
CUAACAAGGAUUCCCCUAGUAACGGCGAGUGAAGCGGGAAGAGCUCAAAUUUGAAAUCUGGUGGCCUCAGGUCAUCCGAGUUGUAAUCUAUAGAAGUGUUUUCCGUGCUGGCUCAUGUACAAGUCCCUUGGAACAGGGCGUCAUAGAGGGUGAGAAUCCCGUCCUUGACAUGAACUACCAGUGCUCUGUGAUACAUUUUCAACGAGUCGAGUUGUUUGGGAAUGCAGCUCAAAAUGGGUGGUAAAUUCCAUCUAAAGCUAAAUAUUGGCGAGAGACCGAUAGCGAACAAGUACCGUGAGGGAAAGAUGAAAAGCACUUUGGAAAGAGAGUUAAACAGUAUGUGAAAUUGUUGAAAGGGAAACGAUUGAAGUCAGUCGUGCUCUUUGGAUUCAGCCGGUUCUGCCGGUGUACUUCCUUUGAGUGGGGUCAACAUCAGUUUUGAUCGCUGGAUAAAGGCUGGAGGAACGUAGUACCCUCGGGUAAACUUAUAGCCUCCUGUCACAUACAGUGGUUGGGACUGAGGAACGCAGCACGCCUUUAUGGCCGGGAUUCGUCCACGUACGUGCUUA